GACGAACGCUGGCGGCGUGCUUAACACAUGCAAGUCGAGCGGUAAGGCCCUUUCGGGGGUACACGAGCGGCGAACGGGUGAGUAACACGUGGGUGACCUGCCCUCAGCUCUGGGAUAAGCCCGGGAAACUGGGUCUAAUACCGGAUAUGACUUCAUGACGCAUGUUGUGGAGUGGAAAGCCUUGUGCGGCUGAGGAUGGGCCCGCGGCCUAUCAGCUUGUUGGUGGGGNGAUGGCCUACCAAGGCGACGACGGGUAGCC
rnacentral:rRNA from 1 species